GACGAACGCUGGCGGCGUGCUUAACACAUGCAAGUCGAACGGAAAGGCCCUGCUUUUGUGGGGUGCUCGAGUGGCGAACGGGUGAGUAACACGUGAGUAACCUGCCCUUGACUUUGGGAUAACUUCAGGAAACUGGGGCUAAUACCGGAUAGGAGCUCCUGCUGCAUGGUGGGGGUUGGAAAGUUUCGGCGGUUGGGGAUGGACUCGCGGCUGAUCAGCUUGUUGGUGGGGUAGUGGCUUACCAAGGCUUUGACGGGUAGCCGGCCUGAGAGGGUGAACGGCCACAUUGGGACUGAGAUACGGCCCAGACUCCUACGGGAGGCAGCAGUGGGGAAUAUUGUACAAUGGGCGGAAGCCUGAUGCAGCAACGCCGCGUGCGGGAUGACGGCCUUCGGGUUGUAAACCGCUUUCGCCUGUGACGAAGCGUGAGUGACGGUAAUGGGUAAAGAAGCACCGGCUAACUACGUG
rnacentral:rRNA from 1 species